rnacentral:tRNA from 1 species
GGGCCGGUGGUCUAGCCCGGUUAUGACGCUACCUUGACAGGGUAGAUAUCGAGAGUUCAAAUCUCUCUCGGCCCACCA